rnacentral:tRNA from 1 species
GGCCCAGUAGUCAAGCGGUCAAGACAUGUUGUUUUCACCAAUAUAUCAAGGGUUCAAAUCCCUUCUGGGCUA